AUGUGCCCGCGGACACUGUGGCUCUUCCGCGCUGUCCGCACCCGCCUGACCAUUACUCGCCACGUUGUGUUCGCU
rnacentral:sRNA from 2 species